AGCAAUGGCUUCUACUCCUACUUCAAGUGACCCCGCUCGCGCUGUCCUCAGAGAAUAUGCGGUUCCUGUCCAGUCUGCAGGAUGGAGGUGGCGGCUCUGUGUGCGUGCAGCCCUCCAUUACGUUCACUGCGCUCUCAGCCCCCUUGCUGCUAGACCUGCGCCUACGUUUAAAAGUAUAUUCCAUUAUUUUGCAUUUUUGAUGUGAGUCAGAAUUUUGACAGCUUUUAUGUAGAAUAAAAAUAUUUUUAAAUUUGUGUAUUGUUACAUAUGUUUGCAUCAAGCUAGCAGCUAAGAGGUUAACUGUGCAACUAUAAAAAAAAGAAAAAAAAGUUUGUCUAAAAUGUAUUUAAAAAGAAAAAAAUUGUUAAGUAGCAUUUACAUUUAUUCAAUAAUAUUACCACAUGCUGGGUUUCUGUACCAGAAAUGGCCAGUUGAUGUACAAAUGUAUGUUAUUUUUGCUUAAAUUCAGU
rnacentral:lncRNA from 1 species